AGCAGCCGCGGUAAUUCCAGCUCCAAUAGCGUAUAUUAAAGUUGCUGCAGUUAAAAAGCUCGUAGUUGAAUUUCGGGACCAUCAUGUCGGUCGUGCCUCGGUACGUACUGGUAUUGUUGGUUUCUCCCUUCUGACGAACCAUGAUGUCAUUUAUUUGGUGUUGUGGGGAAUCAGGACUGUUACUUUGAAAAAAUUAGAGUGUUUAAAGCAGGCUCACGCUUGAAUACAUUAGCAUGGAAUAAUGAAAUAGGACGUUUGAUUCUAUUUUGUUGGUUUCUAGGAUCGACGUAAUGAUUAAUAGGGAUAGUUGGGGGCAUUAGUAUUCAAUUGUCAGAGGUGAAAUUCUUGGAUUUAUUGAAGACUAACUACUGCGAAAGCAUUUGCCAAGGAUGUUUUCAUUAAUCAAGAACGAAAGUUAGGGGAUCGAAGACGAUCAGAUACCGUCGUAGU
rnacentral:rRNA from 1 species